CAAAAAAUGAACUGCAUCACUGGUGUAGCUGCACAGUAAACUAGUCGUUAGCGCGUACUGCUUCUUGCUGAUAUCAAAGCACAGGUCCAGGGAAACCAGGGGGUCCAGGAUCACCAACAGUUCCGGGCCCACCAGGAGAGCCAGUCCUACCAAGUUUACCAACAUUGCCAAGUGCACCUUUGGGACCUGUGAGAGGAGCGAUGAGGGAGGAGAGUCUCUCAGAUGAGUUUUUCCUCAAUACCAAAACUAAUAUUGAGUGUUGCACACACUCACCAGGACGUCCAGGGAUUCCAGAGAGACCAGGUUCUCCGCUGAUACCAGGGCCGCCACCGCCACCAGGAAAUCCAGGGUCUCCAACGUUUGGUAUUGGGAUUGGAACUCUGUCAAUCUCUGCGAUGCCAGGCCUACCCUGUAUACCUGGGGGUCCUGGAAUAUGCAACAACAUACUUUACAAAUGUCCCACAAGGCACUCCCUGUUCUACCAGCAGCAAAGCUGAUACCUCUGGAUCCUUUGGGUCCUUUCCCUCCAUAAUAACCAGGAUCGCCAGGAAAUCCUUUCAGACCUGGACCCCCACUGAAACCAGGCUCUCCUCUGUUUCCUGAUGAAAGUUCCAAAUAGUACUUUAUUUUCUGUCCAAAGACCAUUACAUCAAAAUGACGAUGCUUAUUACCUUUAAAGCCAGGACUGCCAGGAAGACCGGGGCCUGCUGGGCGUCCUGGUUCACCUUUAGGUCCAGGGGAUCCGGAAAAGCCAGGAAGUCCCGGGUCCCCUCUGUCACCUUGAGAUGUGCCAGGACCAGGUGGUCCUGCUGGGCCUUCUGGACCUGGUCGACCUGUUGGCAGAGUCAGAAGAAAUAAGCACAAAGACAUAAAGUGUAAUUGACAGAUUUGUUUUUACCAUAUUCUCCAUCAAGUCCUGGGAGACCUGGGUCUCCAAUUGGUCCCGGAAUAUCUGAGCCAACAACGGGACCAGGUGGACCAGGCAGACCAGGGAAACCAGUAAGUCCUGGACCACCUUGAUCUCCCCUUUCUCCCUUUAGUCCAGGGAUGCCUGGUCCCCCUGGGUAGGAGACGCCUCUCUCUCCUUUCAAACCCGGAGCACCUGGAGCACCUGGGCGGCCUCCUCCAGCACCACCUGUGACCAAUUCAUUAACGUAAGGCAAAAGACCAUUUGGAGUGUGAAAAUCUUCCUUUUGCCAAAACUGUUACCAGGAGUUCCCGGAAGGCCUUUAGGUCCUGCAAGGCCAUUUAAUCCGUCCAAACCCGGUGAUCCAUUAAAGCCUGCCAAACAAAAAUUUGAUAACUUUUUAGAACAUGUAUCUUUCUUGAGUAGACAGUGACAUUUCUCCCACGUUACCUUUGGCACCAGGACCUCCUGGGCCACCUGGACCUCCUGGUGGACCAUCUGAGCCUCUUCUUCCAGGGUAGCCAGCCUGCCCCUUUGGUCCAGGAAAACCAGGGGAGCCUAGGGACAAACUCACCCAUGAUUCCAGGCCGACCAGGUUCUCCAGGGCUGCCUUUAAUUCCCGGGAAACCAGGACCCCCUGGGAAACCAUUGUCACCAGGAGCACCAUCAUUUGCACGGCCACCUUUGGGUAGAUAAUUCAGCGUAGUCAGUGACAAACAGUGGAUAAAGUUUAAACGACAAGAUUUGCAAACAAAACGUUGACAGGGGAACUCAAAGCAAAUAACUCCAAGUUGAUGUUAUGUGCAGUAGUUCCAAAAACUAAAAAGAAUAAGUUAGGAUACAUCAACCUUAUCUUUGAUUUCUAUUGAUGUGUACCUGGAAUUCCUGAAUCUCCAGGUAGUCCUUUGAGUCCAGGACCUCCAGGAUAUCCAUAUGAUUCUCCUGGUAUACCUAUGGGGUUAUAGAGACACAAAAAAGUAUGAAUACUUCCUUGUUAUAUAUAAUAAAAAAGUCAGAUAAGAUUUUGCAGAGGGAAGGCACCUUUUCCUCCAGGGCGACCAGGUUCUCCAGGGUUGCCAGGGAAACCAGGUACACCAUCUUGUCCCUAAAAUGUCCAGUGCAUCAUGACCUUAUGCUAGCACGUGCAAUUUUUAUCUUCUCAGAAUAAUAUGAUGUUGUCAUACCCUCGGUCCAGUCUGACCAGGGAAUCCUACGAUUCCAGGUUCACCUUUCUGUCCAAGGUAUCCAGGGCCUCCAGGCUGUCCAGGAAACCCUGGCUGCCCUGAGAGCCCUUUACUUUGAUCCGCAAAACCAGGAAGUCCAGGCAGACCCUGACGGCCAGGUGGUCCUGGUAGACCUUUGUCACCUGGAAUCACAAUGUGGUAAAUUCAAAUAUAAUAUCCAGUUUGCAAAUCUUGACAUAAAAUGCAUGUCCCACUAUCACGAAUAAAUAGACCAAAUAUAACCUCGGGGUCCAGGGAAUCCCGGAAGUCCACUGUUUCCUGGAUCACCAGAGUCUCCUUUCUCCAGGUACUCCACUGCAUAUGUGGGUGCUGGGGGUCCAGGAAGGCCAGGGUAACCCCUCUCCCCUGAAGAAGACAGCAAUUACAGUGUGAGAAUCACAGUGAAUCUGAUCCUUCACUCUUCUGCUCACCUUUCUGUCCAAAGUAUCCAGGGCCACCUGGAAGUCCAUCUCUUCCAGGCCCUCCAGGCUGCCCUUUCCCCCCAGGAAACCCAGGGGACCCAGGGAGACCAGGUCGUCCAGGGAAGCCCAUCAGUCCAGGGAAGCCUUUGUCACCUGUGCGCACACAGUCGAGCUCUCUUUGUAAUAGAUGAAUUGGCCAACCCAAAUGAUCCUUUGUCUUCUAAAGACUAAUAUAGCGGACCUUUGUCUCCUCUGUUACACAAAGUGUCUAUACACAACUUACUCAGUCUUAUUAUGUUUAUCUUAAACAUAACAUACCCUUUAUUCCUGGUAUCCCUGGUAUUCCUUCUCUGGUUCCUGGUCCAGGAAGUCCAGGGGAGCCCCUUGGUCCCGGUGAACCUGGUGUGCCUGGCAAACCAGGGGAUCCUUUCGCAGCGGCACGUCCUGGAAAACCAGGGUCUCCUCUAUCUCCCUUUCUACCAGGGAAACCUGUUGCAGAGUUGAUGGCCGGCCGCCACACAAGGGUCAAAGAAAGCAGAACACAGUCAGAACAUUCUCGCUGACUCAACAGUCGCUUUGGGUUACAGUCAGUAGCAUUGCACGCGUUAAAAGCACUGUCAGUAUUGUUGUUUUUUUUGCUUGAACUUACCUGGAUUGCAUUACUAUUUGGACUUACCUCAUUAUCAGCGUCACUUUUACAUUGGUGGAAUUUUUAAAAAUGCUUAAAAAAACAAUGAAUCAGUGCAUCGUUUUGUAGCAAUGGCUGGAAUUGCACUUUGAUAGAGUUGUAUUCAAAUAUGUACAAAUUUCUGUUAACUGAAAUAUAGUCAGUGUUUCUCUGCAACAAUUUGUUUCUGCUUCUGUGCAAUUCCAGACUGAAUUAGCUUUUAACCAAGUAUGUUUGCCUAACAGAGGAGCAUAUUAAAGUCUACAUUCUUAAAACUGCACCCUCACUUUCAACACAUCUUGUUGUGCAAUGGAUGGACACGUGAUAGAUGUGAUGAAACGUGAAUGCUUGUAUAUUUAAGAAUGUAUGAAAAAGCUUGGGCAAGACGGUUAAACUGCAUUAAAACCGAAAGCCUUGGUCGUGUCCUAAGUGAACUGAAAUGAUACAGUAAUUACACACACAUUUUUUAUUUUUUUAUUUAUUUUUUUAAAUAGAGGUUAGUGCUGGCUGCAAAACAAAGCUUUAGUGGUUAUUGAGAAAACAUUUUUUUUCUGAUUGUUCCACAGUUAAACUGUCCAUAUCAAAGCAUUCACAGUCAAAUAUGUGGUGCACUUUUUUGUUUUGUUUUGUUUUUGAAAAUUGAGUGCUGCUCAGUAAUUCAGUAAAUUGCUUUCAGUACCAGGACUCUAUAGACUAUACACACAUUAUGGCAUCUCAGCCAUAUAGUUUUUGCAUGUGUUAAGAAAGUCCCAACAUAUUUGAACCAUAUCUGACUCAGGUGAUCCUCCCCAGAUCUUCUCCCAGUACACCUGCAACUGCUGUCUACAAUUCAGCUUCUCAUCUCGAGGUUAAGAUAUGGACACUUUUCAGUGGAGCAGCCAAAAAAAUCAGCAAACACUCAUAAAAAAGGCAUUUGGUCGAGAGCUCAAGACGGAGGGAUGGAAGCACAUGGUAGGGAGGAUAGAUGGACGGAUGGCUGGAUGAAUGAGGGGUGGUUUGGGGAAAGAAUAUCUCACCUGCACAUCCUACAACGAGUGACCCAACACCAAGAAGUAAAAAAAAAUGGGGGAAUGGAAGAAUGGAUGGUGAUGAAGGUGGUAAAGGGAGAGGAUAAAGAAAGGAGGGAGAAAUACAACACAGGAGAGAUUUGGGUGAUGAAGACUCAAACACAAAUUCAACAGUAAAGUAUUGUGACACAUUGAACUACAAAUGAAAAGGGUAAAAUAAACAAGAAAAAGGACAAAUGGAACGACAAAUCAUUGACAAGUCGACACCAUGGGCCACAAGUAAUAACAUUUUUAACACAGGAGUGACUGUAUAUUUUCACAAUUCAAAAUAAAUACAUCUAAACGAAAUGUCAGAACUCACCAGGAGAUCCGCUCUCUCCUUUCCUGCCGGGAGCUCCCUGUGGGCCAACAAUGCCUCCUGUUUCCCCACCAGGCAGACCAGGAAGACCAGGAAUACCAGGUAGACCAUCAACGCCACGCUCGCCUUUCAAUCCAGGAAUGCCUGGCCGCCCAUCCAAACCUGAGGAGAAGAUGGAGCAGAAGUCAACAAGAAUGACUGGUCGUGUUGGUGAGUGUUUUUUAGUGAGAUAACUUCUUAAACUUGAUAUUUCCACCAGACUCACCAGGAGCACCAGGUCCUCCAGAUGAACCAGGCAGGCCCUUAUCUCCUGGCUGCCCAGGGAAACCAUCUUGACCGGGCCGACCAGGAGUAGCACCCAGGACUUCUCCCGGUAGCCCUUUUAGUCCAGGGCGCCCAGGAAUACCGUCUUUUCCUCUCCCACCAUCAAAUCCCUGCCCUGGAAUGCCAGGAACACCAGGAUCACCUCUGGGUCCAGGGAAUCCUAAAAAAGGGAGAGAGGUUGAAGAAAAUGAAGAAAGUGACAAUGAUACAGAAGCUUUUCUCACGAUAAACAGGUUUACCUUGAAGACCUGGCUGGCCUCCGUAGCCGGGAUCACCGCGCUCUCCUUUGGCACCAUUAAAUCCGGGACGGCCAGGACCUCCAGGGAAACCUGGCUGACCUUUAGGGCCUUGAAAAUGUAGACAAGCACUCAAAUAUUUGUGUUUUGGGUACAAUUUAUAUAGAGGAAAGGAUGAUUUCAUACAACCACCAGACUUACAUCACGAGUUUAAAGUAACUCCGCUUGUGUUACACUGUCAACUAGUGAUGUGAUGAUGAAAUAAUGUCCUUUUUCUAGAGCUCGCUAGGUGGCGCUCUCAGUUUGAUAAUGACAUGAGGUUUCAUUGAUAUGUCUGUUUAAAUCCAAAGGAUCUAGAGUAAAGAGUGCCAUUCAGUGGGCUCUGAAACUGAGGACAAUGUUUCAUGAAUCCAUAUCAGCCCAUCACUGCUGUCUACGGAAUAGUAUCACCAUGCAAUGUCAAAGCAGCCAUUGUGGUUGCACUACACACGGACAGUUGACGCAGUCAUCUUACCUGGUAUUCCAGGUAAACCUGGGUACCCUGGGUCCCCUGGGUCCCCAGCUUCAUCACGACAACGGUUCUCUCGGCCUAAUAGCAGUCAAAUACAAGUUAGCAAGCGGCAUAAUUGUGCGCAUAACAAAGUUCGCUGUAAAAUGAAAGUGAGGAGCAACAUUUUUUUCUUCCUACACAUGAAUAAUAACAAUUCUGCAAGUGUAGACAAUAUAUU